rnacentral:misc_RNA from 1 species
GGUGUGUGGGUGGGUGUGCG